rnacentral:rRNA from 1 species
UACGAAGGAUGCAAGCGUUAUCCGGAUUUAUUGGGUUUAAAGGGAGCGUAGGCGGCCUUAUAAGUCAGUGGUGAAAUCUCGUUGCUUAACAACGAACGUGCCAUUGAUACUGUAGGGCUUGAGUACAGAUGCCGUUGGCGGAAUGUGUCAUGUAGCGGUGAAAUGCAUAGAUAUGACACAGAACACCGAUUGCGAAGGCAGCUGACGAAACUGUAACUGACGCUGAGGCUCGAAAGCGUGGGGAUCAGACAGG